UUAACAGAAGCGGUAAACUGUGGUUUUGUGAAUAAGUGUGUGCUUUAGUAAUAAGAACUUUAUAAGUUGUUAUAAGCUUGACUUUAAUUGGACAACCAUUAAAACAUAAUAAGUUUAGAGAUAAAUGCCUGCAACAUUAAGGCAACCUACCAAUUUCUUUAGACACCGAUGAUCUCCGACUCCGUGCGCUGCCACUGUCUGUCCAAUUGGAUAUAAAACUAAACAGCAACGUCCCGUGUCGCACAAGCCGUAGGAUCUCGCCUGCGAAACAGAGUAAAAUAUGUUAAAUAGUUAAUAACUCGAGUGAAUCGCAUCCAAACCAAACUUGAUCGCAUAUCUCAAAGGACGAAUUUUGGAUGCCAGCAGGAGGAGCAGAAAAAACAAUAUUGCAGUAACUAUCAAGAUCCGUCUUGGAUGCCAGUGACAAGCCAUUCGUGUACGACCAAUGGGGCCGGAUACAGCGAUAAUUUACUAGGAUCAACCACAUGUGGGAUAUCUCUAGUGUAAACUAUAUCAAACACAGCGAGCAUCAGUAAUCCAAACAACGGCAGAAAUACAACAAAGGAAAACAGGAGCGGAUGACUCCAUGUGAAUAGAACCUUCUUUAUCAUCAUACCAUGCCAGACGUUUAACCGUUUCUUCGUUGCGCUUAACUCCUGGUUGUCGCUGGGCUGUGACACCCAAGCUAUAUUGGGAUUAAGUGUUACAGAAGCAAAGAGUACAUUUAAAGUAAUAGAGGAACAUGAACGGUAGCAGAUGCACGUUAACAGUAAGGAAGGCACAUUAACAGUAACAGGGACAUAACAUUUUGUUUACAUAUAAUCAUCGUUCCGGUUCUAUUUACUUUAAAUUUCGCUUACCGUUUGUCAGUUCCAUGGAAUCUAAUGUACGCGCACUUCCAAUUUUUUCAUUGCCGAUCUUCAUGAAAGUCUCACCCAGUGUUGGUGCACUGACUCCAAAACUUGAAAUUUUCAAUUUUUCCAGCCUACUCUCCAUGGCCUUAAAGAGGCUAGUAAAUUUAUGUACACUUUCAACGGGCAGACGGUAGGUUAGUUCUGUAUCCGUAACACUCUCCAGCUCCGCAUCAUUGAUAUGAUUGCGAAGAAAUUUUGUGACCUCGUGAUCAUCGCAAUCCUCUAGCACCACACAAACCUAUAUGCACAUGAGGUUUAUUGGGAUGGUUGCAUUGGAUUUAUGAAUCUUACUAGACGAUAUCCUGGGCCAAGAUUAUUUACAAGAAAUUCCGCAGUGCCGUAACCGUAUAAUUCGCCGUCACACAUGAUCGCUAUACGAUCACCCAAUACUUCCGCGGCUUCCAUAAAAUGCGUAUUCAUGACAAUGCAACGUCCAGUUUUCUCCAUACGCAACAGAUUCCAAACUUCACGACGCGCCGAUGGAUCCAGGCAAGCGGUUGGCUCAUCGCAAAGUACCACCUAAAAGCAGAAUCAGAUUGUGGAUUAGGUAAUUGAAGCUCGAAAUGUCAUGAAAUUUGAAGAAGGAGACAUCUCCGACCCCAUAAAGUAUACAUAUUUCUGAUAACUAUAAGCAUCCGAGUCGAUAUAAGCAAGUUCGUAGGAAACCCAGCAAUUAUGGGCGUAAGCCAUAGUUCUAUAAAGGGUAUUUAAUCUUCGGCGUGCCAAAGAUAGGUUAUCUUUCAUGUUUUACACUCACCUUAGUGUUGGCGCAGAGAGCACAGCACACCGACAAUUUGCGUCUCAUGCCAGUACUAAGAUAUUCUACUUUUAUUGUCGACUUGUCCAUUAGAUCCAUCAUUUCCAGAUAUCGUUCUGCCUCCGCUUCAGCUUCCGAACGCUCGAAGCCCUUAAGCCGGCUAUAAAAUACAAUAUGCCAGUAUGCGCUCAGCUCAUCGAAUAGUACAUUGUAUUGCGGACAUAAGCUUAGGGACUUGCGAGCUUUUCGUGUGGCCGUGGCCAUGUUGUUUCCAUUAACAAGAACCCUGCCAGAGGUGGGGAGGGUGAUACCCGCGAGCAUCAUAAAUGCUGUCGUUUUCCCGGCGCCAUUGUGUCCGAGCAGCACGGUUAUCUCAUCCUCAUAGAAUUUCAGAUUUAAAUCGCGCACUGCCUCAAUGUCGCCGUAGGACUUGCAUAAAUUCUGUGUCUCCAUAAUAACCGGCUUAUUGUGAAAAAUCUCCUCAAAAGUAUCGUCGUCUCGUCGUUUGAUUUGGCUAAUUGAUCGCUCUUCAUCCACAAAUUCUCUCCCCGGUCGCUCCCAAGGACACCAAAACUUGCGUUUAAGUGGAAAAUACCAUUUCUUGGCUACACCGUAUUCACCCGGAUUUAGCUGAUCCACAUACAAGCAUAAAAUGAUACGCAAUAUGUUAGUGCCCAACAUCAUCAUCAAUAUGUAUCCAAUGCUCAUUAUAUCAUCGGGAUGACUGGUUGUGAAUAAAUUGGUCCAUUGGACACCCAAGCCCCGAAUUUCAUAGCCAAGAAUCUGCACAAAUAUUAGAGGCAUUGCGCUGUUCAUAAACAAGCAUACAAAUAUUGCCUGUCCCUCUCGCGGCUGACUUCCCAACAUUAAAUAUGGCAUGAAGCUAACACAGUGCAAAACACAUAUAGAGCUCAUGGUCAACACGGUGCUGGUAACAAAGGCGGUGAUUACGAAGGUAAAACAGACUAAUGUCAGUAGAUAAAUAAUAAAUAUAAUCAGCAGCACCAUAAAGUUGGACCCGGGGCACAAACACCAGUUCAUCAAUGCCAGGAAAAUCAUCAUCGGUAUACUUAUAAAUAAACAGGCGACUAUAAACCACGACAGCCAAUUUAAGCCAACGGUGAGCCCCAUUAAUCGCAUUAUCUCCCUCAAAUGUCUCUGUUUCUCCGAAACAAUUUGCUGUAAAAUAGGAUUUGCCCAGAAGACAAUGCUUUUCGGCUCAAACGAAUGAACUGUGACGAUUGUUAUUAAAUACUUUUAGUACGCGGCGCGGUAAGCAAAAGAAAUUCAGAAACUUAACUGUCUAAUUUAGGGCAUAUACUUAAAUUUAUAAACUUGUUCAAUAAAAUAUAUUG